UACGUAGGGUCCGAGCGUUGUCCGGAAUUAUUGGGCGUAAAGGGCUCGUAGGCGGUUUGUCGCGUCGGGAGUGAAAACCAGAGGCUUAACUUCUGGCUUGCUUUCGAUACGGGCAGACUUGAGGCAUGCAGGGGAGAACGGAAUUCCUGGUGUAGCGGUGAAAUGCGCAGAUAUCAGGAGGAACACCGGUGGCGAAGGCGGUUCUCUGGGCAUGUUCUGACGCUGAGGAGCGAAAGUGUGGGGAGCGAACAGG
rnacentral:rRNA from 1 species